rnacentral:rRNA from 1 species
GAGCUGGGUUUAAAACGUCGUGAGACAGUUUGGUCCCUAUCUGCCGUGGGCGUUGGAAAUUUGAAGGGACCUGCUCCUAGUACGAGAGGACCGGAGUGGACAGAUCUCUGGUGUACCGGUUAUCACGCCAGUGGUAUUGCCGGGUAGCUAAAUCUGGAAGAGAUAACCGCUGAAAGCAUCUAAGCGGGAAACUCGUUUCAAGAUUAGAUCUGCCGGGGCCUUGAGCCCCCUAAAGAGUCGUUCAAGACCAGGACGUUGAUAGGUCAGGUGUGGAAGCGCAGUAAUGCGUUAAGCUAACUGAUACUAAUUGCUCGUGCGACUUGACCCU